GCCGCUGGCUGGCGUGGCCAGUGAAAGCCUCCGUGGGCCAUCCUGUGUGCUCCUUCCUGUCCCGCUGGCUGGAUGCGUGGGAACCCGGUACACGUUCACUACCACAGAUCUAAAGGGUGGCUGGGAGGGUCACCUGUAUUUCUCAACUUUAAGAGACAAUAAUGACAUUGGGGCCAAGUCGCCGUUUUCCAGGAAAGGGAACUACCAUAGUCCUUCUGAACCCACGGCACCAAAGAAAGGCUUGCUAAAAUCGUACUUCCUUCUCAAGAUUCUCCCGUCAGCUAUGUGAGAAGCUUUCUCUGCAAUAAAGCCCACAUCUGUCAAGGCUUCCUGCCUGUACUGUGGCAUCUGGAAAGCUGGAAACCCAGUUCCCUGGACUCCUCUGCAUUGGGGACCCACGAAUCCAUUGUGUUCACUCGGGACUCAGAGGUGGAAAUGAGCAGUGGAAGAAGGUGGCCGCAGGCUGGGAGAGUGGCCUUUUUGAAAAGCACAGAGACAAUGUAUCUGGUCUUGGGUCUUCCGGGGAAAUACAGGAUUUUUGUACAUUCAGUCUCAAACCCCGUGGGUGGCAAUUUGCAGCUGUGAGCAACAGAGGGCUUUCUGUAAACACAGUGGGCUGGAGCAUUUGGGGGCUCUGUUGACCCGAGGGUUGUCCAGUACUGUCCUGGGUCUGAGUAGCAUUCAAGCUUGGUUCUUUGGUCAUGUCCAAAAGUCCGUAAGGAACCCAAUAAAUAAACUUGAAUAGA